rnacentral:lncRNA from 1 species
AUAUAUAUAUAUAUGUACACAUGAAAAGAUUAGAGGGAACAAUAUCCAACAUUUUCACAGGGUCACAGAUAAUAACUGAUUGCACCAGCUAGACUGACAUUCCUCAUAUUUCAUAGGUAGACUACUCAGAAGGGCAUUGCCCCAGUAGUGGGGAAUAAUUAGCCUUAGAUUAAUCAUGGCUUUGGUCCUCCCCAACAAAUUUUGGAAGUAAGACCAAGAAGGAUUAAACUAUUUCCAGUUAACUGUAUCAUAGAAUAUAGUUUAAAAUGUUGAUGGGAAUACGAAACUAUCCUGCACCAACAAGUUAAAAUUCACCAAGUCUGACACCAAAUCAAAAAUUAUCAGACAUGGAAAGAAGCAGCAAAAUAUAACCCAUAAUGAGAACAUGCAACCAAUCAAAAUUGUCUGAAAACUGACACAGAUACUACAAUUAGAAGACAAGAAUAUUGAAACAGUUAUCAUAAAUGAAAUCUAUAUGUUCAAAAAGUGAUUUAGAGACAAGAAAGAUGUAAAAACUAAUAAGUCAAACUUCUAGAGAUAACUGCAACAUCUGGUACAAAAAUACACUGGAUGAAAUGUACAGCAGAUUAGACAUUAUGAAAAAAAGGUCAGUGAACUUGAAGAUACAGCAAUAAAAACUAUCCAAAAUCAAAUACAAAGAUUCAAAUAGACAAAAAAAAUCAUUAAAAAUCACUGACCUCUGCAACAAGUUCCAGAUAACUGAAAUACAUAUAAUUGGAGUCACCAAGGUGGAAGGCAAAAAGCAUUUUGAAGAAAUAAUAGCCAAAUAUUUUCCAAAUUUGAUGAAAAUUAUAAACCCAAACACCCAAAAAAGUUCAACAAGUUUCAAACACAAAAAAUAAAGAAAAUUAUACCAAGGCAUAUCGUAAAUUUCUCAAAAACUAAAAUAAAGAGAAAAUCUUUAAAGGAGACAAAAAGAAAAAAGACAUUAUAUACAGAAGAUCAAAGAUAAGGGUGAGGUUAAAUUUAUCAUCAGAAACAUUAGAUUUAUCAUCAGAAACUGUGUAAUUGAGAAGGCAGUGAAGCAUAAUCUUUAAUGUACUGGAAAAUAUGUUUUAAAAAUAUUUAAUGUAUUUAUUUAUUUACUUUCAGACAUGAGGUCUCACUAUGUUGCCCAGGAUAGCCUCAAACCCCUGGGCUCAAGCAGUCCUGCCUCGGCUUCCCAAGUAGGUCGUACUAAGGGUACUCAUCACCAUGCCUGACUUUGUUUUUUAAAUGUUUAAAAAAAAGUUUUAAUGAAGGUAAAAUUAAAAAGUUUUCAAACUCACAAAAGCUUAAAGAAUUCAUCAUCAAGACUCACACUGAGAAAAAUGUUAAUAGAAAUUCUCUAUACAGAAGGAAAACAAUACCAAAUGACAAUAUGGAUCUACACAGUGCAAUGAAGAGCACUAGAAAUAGUAAUGAUUUGGGCAACUACAUAAGAUUCUCUUCUUAUUAGUUAAAUUCAUUUAAAGUAUAAUUGGUAUUUAUCGAAAAUAUUGAUAAUAUAAUUUGAUAUUGACAACAUGUAUAAGAGUAAAAUAUAGGACAACAAUCUCAUAAAGCCUAGGCAGGGAGAUAUGGGAAUAUUUAAGUUUCUUAAACUAUUCAUGAAGUGGCAUAAUAUAACUUGAAGGUAGACUGUGUUAUGUCAAAUAUAUAUAUAUAUAAUAAACCCUAAUGCAACCACUAAAAAAAAACAAAAACAAAGCAUUAUAGCUAACAGGUCAAAAUAGAAAUAACAAGGGAAACUAUGAAGUAUCAAGAAUUAAAUGAAAAUGAAACAAUAACAUAUCAGAAUUUGUGAAUAAAACUAAAGCAGCAUUUAAAAAAAAUAUUAGGGAAAAAAUAAAAAGUCUCGAAUCAAUGAUUCAGCUUUUAUCCAAAAAAAAAGAGAAGAGAAAAUGAAACUAGAAGUAAAUAAGAAAAUAGAAAUAAUAAAUAUCAG